UUGAACUGAUGCAUUCUGACUGUACUACACAUUCCCAAUCAUGCUACUCGAGUGCCAUGCUGGGAAGAUCUGUUUCCCACUGGGCAGUUUUCCCAGUGGUGAGGGGUUGGGAUCGCCCAAUUCUGAGAGGCAGUCACUCCUGAUGGUGAGAGCAACUUCUGAGCAGCUUCCGUGGUAUCUUGGAGGUGAAAAAGCUGGUUGGGUGUUUAGCCCCAAAGCCACCAGCUGGCUCCCAGGGAGAACCAUAGGAGACUCUUAGUGGAGCAGAGUAAGCAUGGGUUGCUCCUGGAGACAAAAAGGACUCCGGAAGAAGGGGACCUGACUGGAGGAGCAGGGCAGGUUGGAGGAGGAGGAGCCGGCAAUCCUUGCAUCAGACUGGCCCUGAGCUAACAUCCGUGCCCAUCUUCCUCUACUUUAUAUGUGGGAUGGCUGCCACAGCAUGGCAUGCCAAGCGGUGCCAUGUCCCCACCUGGGAUCAAACCAGCGCACCCCAGGCUGCUGAAGUGGAACAUGUGAACUUAACCACUGGGCCACGGGGCUGGCCCCUUUACCUUCCUUUAAUCUGGGAUUGGUCUAAACUGUGGACUGCUGAGGGCCUUUGAGGCAGGGAGAAAGUCCUGCUGUGCUGCACUUUCUCCUUGGUUUUGGGCUUUUGUGGAGACCUGCUGCUUGGACCGGUUUUGGCUGUCUUCUGACUGUGAAGGUGGAUAUUAUAGAGAGAGUUGACAUAUGUAAAUAAAGGCUUGAGUCCUUGUCGAUGCAACUGAGUUUCAGAAUCGCCUAUUUGGGACAUCUUGGUAGGUUGGCUUUUCUGCGGAUUGAAGUCCAAAGAAUCUAACUGAUAGACAUACUUUUUCCCUAACUCAUCUAACAUGAGCAGGCACAAAGCAAACCCUUCAGCAAAGAAUUGAUAAACACUCUGGUUUUGUUAUGGCUUAAAGCGAGAUUCUGGACCCCGGAGGAUUUCUGAGGAGUUUGACUGUGCAGUCACAUGACAGAGGAACUGGAAACUAACUUGAACAAAAGGUAGCAGGCUGGACGGCCAAGGAAUCUCCUUUUCUGUCAAGACAACAAGCUGCUUACCUCAGAAUCAGCUGCUUCUUUGUUUAGUUCUUUUUCUCUUCCUGAAGGAUUUGGAACUGAGAUCCAUCCAUCCAUCCAGCAAAUAUCUAUCACACCCCCUGUAUGUGAGCAUUUACCUAUGUGGCGGUAAUGGGGACCCUGGGUUCCCCUCAACCGGGUGCUAUGUGCACUGUAACAACUGUGGCAGUGCUGUGGGCUGUGGGCUGUGGGCUCUUUUGUCAACAGCCUCCUGCUCCCAAAGCUGGGCCCUUCUAAAGAUGGUGUCAGAGAGAGCCCUUGAGGAACUCAGCCUAGCAAAGAGUUAUCCAGUGACAACCAAGCAGAGCCACUGCGUCGGGUGUGAAAAGACAUGCUGCCAGCGUACUAUGGGUGCUAUCGCACUGAAACGUGCAGAAUGGGUGUCACGGCAUGGAAGAAAGUCUCUGAGCAGAGACUUAAGAAAUGCAGCCUCACCAACAGUCACUUGACAGAUGAGGACACAGACCCAGAGAGGACAAGUCGCUCAUCUUACAUGUGUUAACCCAUCAAGCUGUACACUUAAGACUUACACACUUUACUCUUGGGUAUGUUUUAUUUCAGUUAAAAAAAGCAAACAGGAACAAAAGAAAAAAUGACCCUUGAUAUUUUUUGCCAUCACUGAGAAAAAGGAAUAAAGGCAGAACUUUGAAUAAAGAGAAAAUCAAUGAUACUUUACAUGUUUUAAAUUAGUCAUUAUGAGAAUGGUCUAAUUAAUUUAUCAUCCCUCUCCUGCUAGAAGCUCUUCUAAAUCUUACAUUGAAGUUUCAACUUCGGUUUCAAUGAGAUGCUUCUAAACUUGUGAUGAUGUGUAAUAGGGGUGCCGGGAUCUUCGUGUUGAUCUUAGAGUUCAGAGUCAUGUCCUGAAGUUGUUGGUUCCCACUCUGGGGUCAGGAG
ensembl:lncRNA